CAACGUUCUCAGGGCGGGGUGCAAUUCCCCACCGGCGGUAAUGACGCGCAAUGCGUUUAGCCCGCGAGCGCCUGCAAACGCAGGGUCAGCAGACCUGGUGAGAUUCCAGGGCCGACGGUCAUAGUCCGGAUGAAGAGAGAACGGGA
rnacentral:ncRNA from 1 species